rnacentral:rRNA from 1 species
GAGGGCACGCCGCCUUCGGCGAACGUUCCGGCGUCGUAGUCGUGCACUUCUCCCCUAGUAGAACGUCGCGACCCGUUCUGUGUCGGUCUACGGCCCGAGCGGUAGCCUGUCGCUUCGCUUCGCGCGUUCGCGGCAGACCCUCGGUCGCCCGGCCGGCUGCAGGACGGUACUCACACGGUGUCGGGCCGCAACCAAUCCAUUUUCGAAUGUGCGUGCGUCAGGCCCGCCGCAAGCUCGGUCAGUUUACCCGGAGGCCACGGACCUGGUGCCGUCCCCGGGCCUGGCCAGCUGUUGGCAGGCGGUGUCCUCGGACUGGCCAAGCUUCGAACUACCGGUCGGCGACGCUAUUGCUUUGGGUACUCUCAGGACCCGUCUUGAAACACGGACCAAGGAGUCUAACAUGUGCGCGAGUCACUGGGAACUAUAUUAAACCUAAAGGCGCAAUGAAAGUGAAGGU